GACGUAGGGCGCGAGCGUUGUCCGGAUUUAUUGGGCGUAAAGAGCUCGUAGGCGGCUUGUCGCGUCGACUGUGAAAUCCCGCGGCUCAACUGCGGGUCUGCAGCUCGAUACGGGCAGGCUAGAGUUCGGUAGGGGGAGACUGGAAUUCCUGGUGUAGCGGUGAAAUGCGCAGAUAUCAGGAGGAACACCGGUGGCGAAGGCGGGGUCUCUGGGCCGAUACUGACGCUGAGGAGCGAAAGCGUGGGGAGCGAACAGG
rnacentral:rRNA from 1 species